GGGACACGUGGUAUCCUGUCUGAAUAUGGGGGGACCAUCCUCCAAGGCUAAAUACUCCUGACUGACCGAUAGUGAACCAGUACCGUGAGGGAAAGGCGAAAAGAACCCCGGCGAGGGGAGUGAAAAAGAACCUGAAACCGUGUACGUACAAGCAGUGGGAGCCUCUUAAUGGGGUGACUGCGUACCUUUUGUAUAAUGGGUCAGCGACUUAUAUUCUGUAGCAAGGUUAACCGAAUAGGGGAGCCGAAGGGAAACCGAGUCUUAACUGGGCGUUAAGUUGCAGGGUAUAGACCCGAAACCCGGUGAUCUAGCCAUGGGCAGGUUGAAGGUUGGGUAACACUAACUGGAGGACCGAACCGACUAAUGUUGAAAAAUUAGCGGAUGACUUGUGGCUGGGGGUGAAAGGCCAAUCAAACCGGGAGAUAGCUGGUUCUCCCCGAAAGCUAUUUAGGUAGCGCCUCGUGAAUUCAUCUCCGGGGGUAGAGCACUGUUUCGGCAAGGGGGUCAUCCCGACUUACCAACCCGAUGCAAACUGCGAAUACCGGAGAAUGUUAUCACGGGAGACACACGGCGGGUGCUAACGUCCGUCGUGAAGAGGGAAACAACCCAGACCGCCAGCUAAGGUCCCAAAGUCAUGGUUAAGUGGGAAACGAUGUGGGAAGGCCCAGACAGCCAGGAUGUUGGCUUAGAAGCAGCCAUCAUUUAAAGAAAGCGUAAUAGCUCACUGGUCGAGUCGGCCUGCGCGGAAGAUGUAACGGGGCUAAACCAUGCACCGAAGCUGCGGCAGCGACACUAUGUGUUGUUGGGUAGGGGAGCGUUCUGUAAGCCUGUGAAGGUGGCCUGUGAGGGUUGCUGGAGGUAUCAGAAGUGCGAAUGCUGACAUAAGUAACGAUAAAGCGGGUGAAAAGCCCGCUCGCCGGAAGACCAAGGGUUCCUGUCCAACGUUAAUCGGGGCAGGGUGAGUCGACCCCUAAGGCGAGGCCGAAAGGCGUAGUCGAUGGGAAACAGGUUAAUAUUCCUGUACUUGGUGUUACUGCGAAGGGGGGACGGAGAAGGCUAUGUUGGCCGGGCGACGGUUGUCCCGGUUUAAGCGUGUAGGCUGGUUUUCUAGGCAAAUCCGGAAAACCAAGGCUGAGGCGUGAUGACGAGGCACUACGGUGCUGAAGCGACAAAUGCCCUGCUUCCAGGAAAAGCCUCUAAGCAUCAGGUAACAUCAAAUCGUACCCCAAACCGACACAGGUGGUCAGGUAGAGAAUACCAAGGCGCUUGAGAGAACUCGGGUGAAGGAACUAGGCAAAAUGGUGCCGUAACUU
rnacentral:rRNA from 1 species